AAGGUGGAUCGAACGAUCGAUCUUCGUUUUUGCGAAGGUAGGAAAGUCCGGACUCCAUCCGCCAUUCCGGCGGAAAACAGGUAGCGGGUAACGCCCGUCUGGAGCAAUCCACGAGGUGCGAGCAGAGACGCCAAGAUUAGAAAUAAUCUCGGCAUCCUAAGCGAUUAGGAUGAGUUCUUAUGGCAACAUAAGAGGUGAAACGGCUAAAUCCUUACUCGGGAGCAAGGUCGUGUUCUGUGUUUUUAGCUAAACACGGAAAGUGCCGCUCGAGGCCGCCAGCAAUGACGGUCCCAGAUAAAUGAUCGUUCUCGACAGAAUCCGGCUUACAGAUCCGCCUUGAUA
rnacentral:RNase_P_RNA from 1 species